rnacentral:rRNA from 1 species
CAGGGAAUCUUGCGCAAUGGACGGAAGUCUGACGCAGCGACGCCGCGUGGGUGGAGACGGCCUUCGGGUUGUAAAGCCCUUUUCUGGAGGAAGAGGGAGGACGGUACUCCAGGAAUAAGUGUCGGCUAACUACGUGCCAGCAGCCGCGGUAAUACGUAGGACACGAGCGUUAUCCGGAUUUACUGGGCGUAAAGCGCCUGUAGGCGGUUCUUCAAGUCGUUUGUGAAAGCCCUGGGCUCAACCUGGGAGGCCAAGCGAUACUGGAGGACUUGAGGGUGACAGAGGGGAGUGGAAUUUCCGGUGUAGCGGUAAAAUGCGCAGAUAUCGGGAGGAACACCGAGUGGCGAAGGCGGCUCCCUGGGUCACACCAGACGCUGAGAGGCGAAAGCUAGGGGAGCG